rnacentral:lncRNA from 1 species
GGGGAGAUCUUUUUCAAAAUAAUUAUUUUUAUCUGUUUCAUACAAGAAAGGAGAGAAUUUUAACUAAUUAAGAACAAUCUUUAGAAAAACUCUGAUAUCUUCAUAAAUAAGUUUCAGAAAAAUAAAUUGAAAUAUUAAAAUUAUUAAAAAUAUGUAUCUUAUGAUUUUCUAUGAUUAAUCUUUGGUAUAUUCCUACAAGUGCUUCACAAAUCCAAAUUCUUUGAGCUUUAAGGACUUAUUUUAUGAACACUCAAAUAUUUUAUCAUCAUCAAAAAGAGGA